GCGGGGGUGAAAAAGAAAACGAGACCACCCCAGAUGGGACUCGAACCCACAAUCCCUGGCUUAGGAGGCCAAUGCCUUAUCCAUUAGGCCACUGGGGCUUCUGUGAGCGAGGCGCUCCAGCAACGUAUUCAAUUUUUUUCCCUUUGGUACGUCACCGUCACUUAGACCUCCUUUUAACCUAUCCUGAGACACCACACCUAGUACCAAUAUGAGGGGUGAGGCAUGCUGGGAGUUGUAGUUCAGAGGACAAGAGUCCGCGUUCCGGCUCCAAAGGCUUUACCCUCGAAACAGCACCGAUGCGCCGGACGGAGAACGGGAGCGCGCACGGGUUUGCGUACGCGUGUGCCUGCCCGGUAACCCCCGCGCCUGCGCAAACGUGGGCCUGCGGUGUCGCGGAGCGGAGCGCGCCGGGAACACUGGCCGCGUCUCGGAGACUCGCCCUCGGAGCUUCUGCAGCGUCGGACCGUUACCGGAAGCAGCCUGCCCCUUCCGGGGUCGCGGCUGCCCGGAUUUCGCUUGCCUCCAGCCGCCUUUAGGGGGCGUCCGCCUCGGUCAGUUUUCUGUUUCCGGUUGAAGAGCUGAGACCGUUUCCGCGGAGCCAAUGGCGGCCUGGAGACGUGGACCUUGUGUUGUGAAUUGCCGGGUCAUCGAUAAGCCCGGGACGGCGGGGAGUUAUUGUUUAACUCCCUGGGAAUUAGUUCAUUAGGAAUAACCAGAAGCUCUUUUUCUGGAUCUGAGCCUGGUUGCGUGAAUUGGACGAGUGGCUUCUGGGCGUCCGCGGCCUUAGCUCCUAGGCCAGGACGUCGGAGAGGCGGCCCUCGCCCCUGAGACUGCUCGGCCGCCGGCUGUCGUGACCGCCGGCCUCGCGCUGCCGCUGCCUCUCGCCCUCCGCGCCACCGGCCCAGCCUCUCCCACUGUCUCCUCCGCUCCUGCCCCCGCAGCCCGAAGCCUAGCCGUUGGUAGCCGUUGGUAUUCGUAUCCCUGUUUACCUCUUGGGCUUCCGGCUUCCUCGGGAAGUCUAGGCCCCGCACUGCUCCAGGCCUUUGUGGUCCGCAGGGCAAAGUUAAAAAGGCUCAUUACAUGUUAACCGUACCUUUUGCAAGUAAAGUACCUGAGUCUGCGCUCCUUCGUCUUCCCCGGGAGCCAGAAUUCCCACUCUGGACGGCCCCCUGCCCCGGGGUCCCAGCCGGGUCACCACUUGGAGGUAGCUGGCUCACAGUCUGGCUGGAACCCCGACACUCCCGGGAUCGACAUCAGAGGAAACCAGACUAGAAUGGCUUGAUGUGAAUGAAUGAGUCUCUCCUUGUGACACUCAUAAAAUAUCGAUCAACCCGCUACCAUGUGUGAAAACCCCAAGGCCUAAGGAGGAGUAUGGAGUUGGCCCCAAGUGAGCUCUCUGCUGACAGAUGGCCAACCUAAAUUUCCUGGUAAGGCCAGAGACCAGACUUAGAAGCUAUACAGAUGAAAACCUGACCCAAAAUCAUGCUCCAGAAUGAGCCAGUGAAAACACCAUGAGGCACAACUGCUAAGAACUUGCAAGGCUGGUACAAUGACAGUAGACAGGAGCUGGGACCAGCACCAGAGCUCUUGCUCCAGGACACUGGCUAAUACCAGUGGUUUCUCUGCUUUUCCUUGUGCCAGAAUGGAUUAAGUCUUUACCCAGGAGUCACUUUCUGAGAUAUGCAGCUGUAUGAAUUCUUCAAAACUUAUUUUCCAGAAGAAAAUAUGAUGCAUGUUUAAUGUUGACAAAGUUGCUAACUUCCUUCAAAACCUAUUCAGAUACGAAACCGAGCUUCGAACUCUAGCUCCCUGACAUCCUUAGCCUUGCCCGCCACAUGCUUGGGACGAGAGAAUGUAAACAUCGACAGAACAGCAGCCCUAUGACCACAUGAGGACUUUCCCAUCAGGUAGAUUCCAUCAGCCAGCUGAGUGUCUCAUCUCCAUCGCUUGCUGGGAAGUCACUGAGAUUUCCGUGGUAAUUUAGUGUCCCCUUUACUUUGGCCUCCAUCUGAGAAGAGAGAUGUUUAAUUGGCAUGGGUUAGCAUGUUACAAAAAAAAAAAUAGAUUAAAAUAAGGAGAACAAUUAACUCUUAAUUUCCAUGUGAAUGACAUUACUAAAAAGACAACCUGUAAUAUCUUACAUGGUAUAGCACAUUAUAGAAGCUAAGAAACCUAAGGAGAUAAAUGAACUCAACAAAAAUGAUCCUUUUAUCUCAAGUGACUAUGAUUCAAUUGGUUUUCAGUUGAAAUACUAUUUUUUUUUUAAAGAUUUUAU